ACGCUCGACACCUACGGGAGGUAGCAGUGGGGAAUAUUGCACAAUGGGGGAAACCCUGAUGCAGCAACGCCGCGUGAAGGAAGACGGUUUUCGGAUUGUAAACUUCUGUUCUUAGUGAAGAUAGUGACGGUAGCUAAGGAGCAAGCCACGGCUAACUACGUGCAGCAGCCGACGGUAAUCUGAGGCGGGCUGGCAAGGC
rnacentral:rRNA from 1 species